rnacentral:rRNA from 1 species
GCGUCGACGGGUAGCCGGCCUGAGAGGGCGACCGGCCACACUGGGACUGAGACACGGCCCAGACUCCUACGGGAGGCAGCAGUGGGGAAUAUUGCGCAAUGGACGAAAGUCUGACGCAGCAACGCCGCGUGAGGGAUGACGGCCUUCGGGUUGUAAACCUCUUUCAGCAGGGACGAAGCGAAAGUGACGGUACCUGCAGAAGAAGGACCGGCCAACUACGUGCCAGCAGCCGCGGUAAUACGUAGGGUCCGAGCGUUGUCCGGAAUUAUUGGGCGUAAAGGGCUCGUAGGCGGUUCGUCACGUCGGGAGUGAAAACUCGGAGCUUAACUCCGAGCCUGCUUCCGAUACGGGCAGACUAGAGGUAGGCAGGGGAGAGCGGAACUCCUGGUGUAGCGGUGGAAUGCGCAGAUAUCAGGAAGAACACCGGUGGCGAAGGCGGCUCUCUGGGCCUUACCUGACGCUGAGGAGCGAAAGCGUGGGUAGCGAACAGGAUUAGAUACCCUGGUAGUCCACGCCGUAAACGUUGGGCGCUAGGUGUGGGGGACAUUCCACGUCCUCCGUGCCGCAGCUAACGCAUUAAGCGCCCCGCCUGG